rnacentral:misc_RNA from 1 species
ACGGCUGUCUAUGGCCGGUCCGGAAGCUCAUGCUCGUGCUUCCUUUGCGGUGAAUCUGGUGAAUCGGUAGCUUUCGGUGGUAGUACGGUUUCGAAGAAAAAGGAGAAGCGCUACACUCUUUGCCGUUGCUCCAUAUUGUGAUUGAAACGACCUCGACUGUUAACGAAAAUGUGAUCCAAAAGCUGAAGAGUACUGACAAGUGUACACAUUGUCGCGAAAGCCAAUCUUCCUCCAUGAGGGCCUGGUUUUCAGUUUAGGACAUCAUGAUCGCCAAACAAGCAUCUAGACAGCCGCUGAAAGAAAAGUUUGUUCAGAUCUACGAAGGAUUUUUCAAGGGCGUCGAUCCUUCAGCGAAUAAUCAAAAUUUUUGGGACGAACUGUUCUUGUUAAAGGUCAAUGUGAACUUUAUACAACAACAGUUUGACAACCUGUCAGGGGAAGAUCUCGUCAGACUCAAGGAUACAAUAAACAACCUCUUUUAUCACUGCGUACAAGCCUUGCGAAGUGACCAUCGUAUACGAGUAGUGAAUGCUUUGCAGACACUGUGUGCCCUUAUUCAAGGUGUCUACAAGAAAUCUCAUGGCGACUAUGGCUUUGACAUCAUCAAUCUCCUCAUUGGAUUUGAUAUGGCUGAAGCAACAAUGCAGGAACUGAUUGAAUUGAUCCGUGGCUUUCUGGAAGGUGAUUACACUCACAGCCUUAAAUCUUUGGUCCUCCGGUUUCUGCUCGUGCUUGUAACAGCUACUGAAAAUGUUAGCAAUAACACGCUGCUGGAGUAUGUCAUGAUGAACUGUGUUUUUGAAGCCAUUCUACAGCUGCUUGCAGACAAGCAUUCUCGAGCACACUGUGGCUAUGAUGCGGUCUUGGUCUUGACAAUUCUUGUGAGCUAUAGAAAGUAUGAGGCAGCCAACCCUUACAUUGUGAAGCUUUCUAUUGUGGACAAUGAACUGGCAUUGAAUGGGUAUGGAAUGGUUGUAUCCACUGCCCUUGCUGAAUUCAAUCGACAAUUUCUGCAAGAACAAGCUGAGCCUCAAGCUGGUCUCUUGUCUACAGUAACCAACUUUGUUGGCACCAUGUUCCUUACUGAUGAGGGAGCACCCAUGAAAGACUCCGGAAGGAGCGAUGAUGCUGUUCUUCUUGCCCUGUAUGAGGCUGUUCACUUAAACAGGAACUUCAUAACGAUCCUGACAAAUUCUCAGACAGAGUCUUGUGCAACUGCAUCUGCCCCAACCAGCGGUGCUGCAUCUCCUACGGAACACUCGCCACAUGACCUAGUCCCUGUUGAUGUCAAUACCAUGGAUCAGCCGCCAUCCAACCUGCUUGUCACAUUCCUGGAGUUCUGUUCCAUUGUAAUGCAAAAAACAAAAGUUGAAGCCAAUGCAAACACGACUAAGCUUGGGUUCAUCAUUCUUACCUGCAUCACUGAAGAUCAGUAUGCCAAUUCCAUGAUGCAUGAUGUCAACAUGGUCUUCAAGGUUCAGCUGCAUAGAAUGCCCAUGCGUCAUCGUAAGGUGACACCUCUGCGAGAUGUUCAUUCUCGUCCCCUAGCCUGUGCACUCUUGGACCUCAUGGUGGAGUUUAUCUUCAGCCAUAUGAAAAAGAACCUGCUGAUUGACCUCUACCAGCGGUGCUUAGGUAUAAUUCACCGGCUACUUUGCUACCAGAAGAAGUGUCGAGUGCGGCUUCAGUACAGCUGGAAGGAGUUGUGGACAUCACUGAUCAGCCUACUCAAGUUCCUGCUGAGCCGAGAGUCAGACUUUGUCAAGAAACAUGACAUCUUCCAGUUGGCUAGUCAAGUGGUGAACAUCUUCAACCUUUUCAUUACAUAUGGAGACACCUUCCUGCCUUCACCUGGGAGCUAUGAUGAACUCUACUAUGAGGUCAUCCGUAUGCACCAGGUCUUUGACAGCAUGUACUCAAUGGGUACGUAAUUAUUUCAGCACUACGUUACACAACUGGAGACAGCCAGUGGAAGGACUCUGCAGCCAAACUUUCGAAUCAUUUGGUAAAUGUCAGGGCAAUUGUGAACCACUUCACACCAAAAAUUGAUUCUUGGUCUGCAGCCAACCACA